GAUGAACGCUGGCGGCGUGCCUAACACAUGCAAGUCGAGCGAACAGACGAGGAGUUUGCUCCGUUGUCGUUAGCGGCGGACGGGUGAGUAACACGAGUAUAACCUACCUAUAAGACUGGGAUAAUUUCGGGAAACCGGAGAUUACACCGGAUAAUAUAUUGAACCGUAGGGUUCAUUGGAGAUUGUCGGUUCUGCUGUCACUUAUAGAUGGUUCCGGGCCGGAUUGGCUAGUUGGUACGGUAACGGCUUACCAAGGCGAGGAUGCGUAGCCGACCUGAGAGGGUGAUCGGCCACACUGGAACUGAGACACGGUCCAGACUCCUACGGGAGGCAGCAGUAGGGAAUCUUCGGCAAAGGGCGAAAGCCUGACGGAGCAACGCCGCGUGUGUGAUGAAGGUCUUCGGAUCGUAAAACUCUGUUAUUAGGGAAGAACAGAUGUGUAAGUAACUAUGCACGUCUUGACGGUACCUAAUCAGAAAGCAACGGCUAACUACGUG
rnacentral:rRNA from 1 species